AUUGAACGCUGGCGGCAUGCCUUACACAUGCAAGUCGAACGGUAACAGGUCUUCGGAUGCUGACGAGUGGCGAACGGGUGAGUAAUACAUCGGAACGUGCCCGAUCGUGGGGGAUAACGAAGCGAAAGCUUUGCUAAUACCGCAUAAGAUCUACGGAUGAAAGCAGGGGACCGCAAGGCCUUGCGCGAACGGGGCGGCCGAUGGCAGAUUAGGUAGUUGGUGGGAUAAAAGCUUACCAAGCCGACGAUCUGUAGCUGGUCUGAGAGGACGACCAGCCACACUGGGACUGAGACACGGCCCAGACUCCUACGGGAGGCAGCAGUGGGGAAUUUUGGACAAUGGGCGAAAGCCUGAUCCAGCCAUGCCGCGUGCAGGAUGAAGGCCUUCGGGUUGUAAACUGCUUUUGUACGGAACGAAAAGACUCUUUCUAAUAAAGAGGGUCCAUGACGGUACCGUAAGAAUAAGCACCGGCUAACUACGUGCCAGCAGCCGCCGUAAUAC
rnacentral:rRNA from 1 species